UUCCCUGUGAGUCCAGUGGUUAGGACUCUGCACUCCCAUUGCAGGGGGCACAGGUUCGAUCCCUGGUUGGGGAAC